ACAUAGAGUUAUAUUGAGGGAUUGAGAAUGAAUUUCAAUUAUAAAUAUUUUGAGGGAUUGUGAAGAUCUCUGUUCCGUUAAUUUUCUCUUUUCUUUUUUGGAUGUUUUUUUUUGUCUCUUUGUUAUGGAUAGUUCCUUAUGUUGACAGAUUGGGAAGAGCUCAAGAGUGCAAAUUUUGUCUUUUCUUUCUUGGAUAUUUUUUGUGUCUUUGUUAUGGAGAGUUCAUUAUUCUUCCAUAUAUCUACAACCAAAAACGGGAAGAAGAGGGGAGACUAGGGUGUUAUAUAUUGAUACUUAUUUGAAGCAAUAAUCCUUUGUUAUUUCAAGGGUUCAUCUGCUAUAUCCAAUGCUGAUCUUUUUGGUGACUCAAGAGACAACUCUAUCGAUCUUGCUGCUAGUGACCUUAUCAAUCUAAUAUCUUUCCAGGCACAAAAGGAUAUUUCUUCCCUUACGAACAUUGCCGGAGAAACUGGGAAAGAGCUCACCUCCCAAGAACAUUUCUUCCCUUAAGAACAUUUAUUCCCUUAAAUUUAGUGAUGUAACAUCUUUUUAUAGAUUCAUAAACAAUUUUUUGCAAGUUGCAUGUUCUUAUGUUUGGCAAAAAUCAAGGGGUGAGUCUUCUUUUGAUGUCUGAGUUUAUUCUGAGAUAAUGGUACGAAGUUCCGGUUCAACAUUUGUUUAUAACAUCCAUUUGAAAAUUUUCUUGAGAAAUAUUGCUAUGAACAUUUGCAACCAAUAUAUUGUUGUCUAUGUGACAUAUUGGAGGAAAUGAAGAAAUGUUUUUCUCUAGAAUUGGGACAAAGAAUCAAUCCCUAGAUUGUUUAGCUUCUCCAUUUGCUUUACUUCCACUUCCUUGACAUGAAAUCCAAGAAUAUUACCUCAUUUCAUGGUCACGUAUAAAUAAUGAUAAUAUUCUUCUUUUAUGACAGCUAUCAUACAUUGUUUUUUCUCUUAUAUGUAGGGACAUCGUCAAGAUAACAGAUAAGCAUGUGGAUAUUAUGUCAUGAAGACUAUGUUUGAAAUUGUUGAUACUUCUAUUGUUGAAUGAUUCAAUGAGAUAUUCACAAACACCUCAUCGUAUGAAAAAGAGAUAAUUGACCAUAAUCGACAAUUUUGUGCUCAAUAUGUUUUGGAAAUGGUUGAAGAGUAAAAUGUUGAAGAGUAAAUGCAAAUGGUUGAAGAGCAAAAUAUUGAAGAGUAAAUGCAAAUGAUUGAAGAGCAUGAGAACCAAGAAGACAUGCAAAUAUUGCCAAAACCAUAGCGA